AAAGAGGAGUGGCGGACGGGUGAGUAACACGUGGGUAACCUACCCAUCAGAGGGGGAUAACACUUGGAAACAGGUGCUAAUACCGCAUAACAGUUUAUGCCGCAUGGCAUAAGAGUGAAAGGCGCUUUCGGGUGUCGCUGAUGGAUGGACCCGCGGUGCAUUAGCUAGUUGGUGAGGUAACGGCUCACCAAGGCCACGAUGCAUAGCCGACCUGAGAGGGUGAUCGGCCACACUGGGACUGAGACACGGCCCAGACUCCUACGGGAGGCAGCAGUAGGGAAUCUUCGGCAAUGGACGAAAGUCUGACCGAGCAACGCCGCGUGAGUGAAGAAGGUUUUCGGAUCGUAAAACUCUGUUGUUAGAGAAGAACAAGGACGUUAGUAACUGAACGUCCCCUGACGGUAUCUAACCAGAAAGCCACGGCUAACUACGUGCCAGCAGCCGCGGUAAUACGUAGGUGGCAAGCGUUGUCCGGAUUUAUUGGGCGUAAAGCGAGCGCAGGCGGUUUCUUAAGUCUGAUGUGAAAGCCCCCGGCUCAACCGGGGAGGGUCAUUGGAAACUGGGA
rnacentral:rRNA from 1 species